rnacentral:rRNA from 1 species
AGGACGAACGCUGGCGGCGUGCCUAAUACAUGCAAGUCUAAGGGGUGUACAUCCUUCGGGGUGUGCAUCACUGGCGCACGGGUGAGUAACGCGUAAGUUAUCUGCCCCUGGGUCUGGCAUAACCUCGGGAAACCGGGACUAAUUCCAGAUGAUACCGAAAGGUCAAAGCUUCGGCGCCCAGGGAUGAGCUUGCGUCUGAUUAGCUUGUUGGCGGGGUAAUGGCCCACAAGGCUUCGAUCAGUAGCCGGUCUGAGAGGAUGAUCGGCCACAUUGGGACUGAGACACGGCCCAGACUCCUACGGGAGCAGCAGUAAGGAUAUUGCGCAAUGGACGAAAGUCUGACGCAGCAACGCCGCGUGCAGGAUGAAGGCCCUUUGGG